rfam:Dipodomys ordii contig_62253, whole genome shotgun sequence.
GAGGAGUUGGCUCAGUGGUAGAGUACUUGCCUCAUGUGCAUGAGGCCCUGGGUACAAUUCCUCAACACCACA